rnacentral:lncRNA from 1 species
GAAACUUGAUCUGAUGGCUAUGGUGGUUCCUGGCUAUGAAUAGGAAAGAUUAAGCACUGAUCAAUGGCCAAAAAUCAAUCCGGUGAUAGAUCCAAUGGCUGUUAUCGUAUCUAAUCAUGAGAAGGUUUUAAAACACUAUUUUUGGAUAGAUCUGGAUGGUCCAAGUGAGAUCCGACAGUCAGAAAUUAAUAUUACAAGUAUUAUAUGUUUUCUAA